rnacentral:misc_RNA from 1 species
UCUCCGUAGGUGAACCUGCGGAGGGAUCAUUACAGAGUUCUCGCCCUCGCGGGUAGAUCUCCCACCCACUGUUAUCGUUACUGUGUUGCUUUGGCGGGCCGCCGGGCCCCGCUCGGCCGCCGGCUUCGGCUGGCGCGCGCCCGCCAGAGGCCCAGCAAACUCUGAAUGUUAGUGUCGUCUGAGUACUAUAUAAUAGUUAAAACUUCCAACAACGGAUCUCUUGGUUCUG